UUCAGUUGAAGUGGACUUUGUCGUUUCUGUUUCAACUGGCAAAUAUUCAGUUACAUUUUCAUGAAUAUUCACAUUUGUUUCAGGUGCAUUCGUUGGAGAAAUUGUUUCGUGUUUUUCUGAUGCUGCAAAUUCGUUUGCCGUCUCCAAAAUGGUUGUUGUUAGCUGGUGGUUCAAAUCUAGCAUAUUUUCGGUCGUAAAGUCUUCGAUUGCUUCUUCUGCACUGGACUUGGUACCCUCAGUUUGAAUCACCGUAGAUACAGGAACAAUAUUCGCAUCUGUUGUUGCAGUAUCAGUGGGGCUUUCGUUCGAUUCCUUGAAUAUGUUGUUCAUUUUCUGCAUUACUGGGUUCUGGUAUAUUUGUAACAUCUUGGACAAAAGUAGUUGUUUCAUAUUCGGUUAGAUUGAAAAAUUGUUCCGAUUCAUAAGUUGCAUUUGUUUGUAUAUUACCUUCCAAAAUAGCUUCUUUUUCUUCAUCAGAUUGCAUGUCAUUUUCUAGUUGUAUAGUGGUUGCGGCAAUUAUCGUUGUAGUGGUGUUGACGUGCAAAUCACUCGUCUGACUUGAGUGUAGGGGCGAAAGACUAAUCGAACCAUCUAGUUGCUGGUUCCUUCCGAAGUUUCCCUCAGGAUAGCUGGCAUUUGUUUGUAACAAUUUUAUCCGGUAGAGCGAAUGAUUAGAGGUGUUGGGAACGCAAUGUUCUCAGCCUAUUCUCAAACUUCGAAUGGGUAAGCAAGGCGUUUUGCUUUGAUUUUACGAUGAAAUCGCCCAAUUAGAAUGCAUAAAUGCCUAGUGGGCCAAUUUUGGUAAGCAGAACUGGCGAUGUGGAAUGAACCAAAAGUCAGGUUAAGGUGCCAGACAUUGGCGCUCAUGAAAUACCAGAAAAGGUGUUGGUCGAUAUAGACAGCAGGACGGUGGCCAUGGAAGUUGGAAUCCGCCAAGGAGUGUGUAACAACUCACCUGCCGAAUCGACUAGCCCUGAAAAUGGAUAGCGUUUGAGCGCCAGGCCCAUACCUGACCGUCUCAAUUACGCACUUUUUUUCGGAAAAGGUGUAAUGAACGUUGAGACGGGUAGGAAGGUCGCGACAGUGUUGCUUUGAAGAGUUUUGAGCGUGAGCUCGCUCGGAGCCGCUGUUGGUGCAGAUCUUGGUGGUAGUAGCAAAUAUUCAAGUGAGAACCUUGAAGGCUGAAGUGGAGCAAGGUUCCAUGUGAACAGCAGUUGGACAUGGGUCAGUCGAUCCUAAGAAAACGGCGAAAGCUUGUUCGAAUUUGCGACAUGAAUUGUAAGACUGUGUGUGUUUAUUGUGUGUGCAGUUGUCGUAUGUUUUCGAAAGGGAAUCCGGUUGAUAUUCCGGAACCGAGUAACGGAGACAAAGAGUAGCGCUUUAAUCUCUCUGUGGGGUUGGCGUUCAACUCAAUCGCGCGGUAACGCAAGCGAACUCGGAAAAUGACCGUCGUGAGUUUCGAAAAGAGUUUUCUUUUCUUUUUAAGGGACGCAUUCCCUGGAACCGGGUUGUCCGGAGAUAGGGAUUCUGGUAUCCAUAAAACGCCGACUUUUUCACGGUGUUCGGAGCGCUCUCGUCGGUACGUGAAAAUCCGAGCGACGCCUGGUAAAUCUCGUACUUGGUCGUACUGAUAUCCGCAGCAGGUCUCCAAGGUGAAUAGCCUCUGGCCGAUAGAAUAAUGUAGGUAAGGGAAGUCGGCAAAACGGAUCCGUAACUUCGGAACAAGGAUUGGCUCUAAGGGCUGGGCCGAUCGGGCUGAGGUUUCAAGCGUGCAGUGUAUGCUUGGCUGAGUUGUGUUGAGGACUUGUUCACUUGCCGCCGUUUGUUCGGUUGGUCUAGUGUAUUCGAGUCUGAAGCAGAGCUGGCCGACAGACCGGCACGUGCAGAACCUGAGCUGCGCGGCUGUCCGUUUACGUGUACAGACCGUUUCGGUCGGCAUUCAACAGCCAACUUAGAACUGGCACGGACACAAGGAAUCUGACUGUAUAAUUAAAACAAAGCAUUGCGAUGGCCGAUGAUCGGUGAUGACGCAAUGUGAUUUCUGCCCAGUGCUCUGAAUGUCAAAGUGAAGAAAUUCAAUCAAGCGCGGGUAAACGGCGGGAGUAACUAUGACUCUCUUAAGGUAGCCAAAUGCCUCGUCAUCUAAUUAGUGACGCGUAUGAAUGGAUCAACAAGAUUCCUUCUGUCCCUAUCUACUAUCUAGCGAAACCACAGCCAAGGGAACGGGCUUGGCAAAAUCAGCGGGGAAAGAAGACCCUGUUGAGCUUGACUCUAGUCUGACUCUGUGAAGAGACAUGAAAGGUGUAGCAUAGGUGGGAGAUUGUCAAAUUGCCAUCGUUCGCGCGGUGGUCCGGUGAUCGCCAAUGAAAUACCACUACUUUGAUCGUUUCUUUACUUAUUCGGUAAAGCGAAAAAAUUGUGGCCAAUUUGGCGGUGUUUAUGUCGCUGUUGGUCAUUGUUUUCAUGUUAGAUUGAAGCUUUGUUUACAGCCGUCGCUUUGUGUCGCCAUUUGACGCAUUGUUGUACUGGGUUAUCCGUUGCCCAGUUCUUUCCCAUCUGAUAUUGCCAGACAUCGUGGAAAUACCAACCAAACGGAAUCAGAUCAGACCAAUAAAUUCCAUCUCCUCGAUCUUUCAUCCAAUCUUGAGAGACUCUAAUUUGUAGCAGACCGCCGGUAUAUUUGCGCCACGCAUCAGGUUUCAUGUCUGUCUUGCUCAUGGUACGUGGAUUGAAUGAAAAUACGCCUCUGUUUGGAGAAUUUCUAGCAAUCGAGCCAACCUGUUCAAAGCUGUGACCAAGUACAUCUUCCCAAUAACCCCACAAUGGCGAUAGGUUUGAAGUGAUUCGCUCCGGAAACAGUGUCAGACGGGGAGUUUGACUGGGGCGGUACAUCUGUUAAACGAUAACGCAGGUGUCCUAAGGUAAGCUCAGCGAGGACAGAAACCUCGCUUAGAGUAAACGGGCACAAGCUUACUUGAUUUUGAUUUCCAGUACGAAUAGAAACCGCGAAAGCGUGGCCUAUCGAUCCUUUUGAUUGUGUAGAUUUCAUGCAAGAGGUGUCAGAAAAGUUACCACAGGGAUAACUGGCUUGUGGCAGCCAAGCGUCCAUAGCGACGUUGCUUUUUGAUCCUUCGAUGUCGGCUCUUCCUAUCAUUGCGAAGCAGAAUUCGCCAAGCGUUGGAUUGUUCACCCACCAAUAGGGAACGUGAGCUGGGAUUAGACCGUCGUGAGACAGGUUAGUUUUACCCUACUGAUGACAAGUCGUUGCGAUAGUAAUCCUGCUCAGUACGAGAGGAACCGCGGGAUCAGACAUUUGGUUCAUGCGCUCGGCUGAAAGGCCGGUGGCGCGAAGCUAGCAUCUGCAAGAUUAUGACUGAACGCCUCUAAGUCAGAAUCUUUUCUAGUCAUUGGCAACGAUAAGUUGCGUCCAGACUCGAUGCGAGGAAACGAUUAGGCUUUGCUAUACGGCGAAGCCAUUAUCAGACCACGGUAGCAGGCAGUAUGGGAUUGUUACGAAAAAGCAAUUUUUUGAAGUCAGUUGAAUUCAAUCAAACUGCUAACAAUUCCACUGCGAAUGACUCCAUUCGAAUCAAU
rnacentral:rRNA from 1 species